rnacentral:rRNA from 1 species
CAGCCGCCGCGGUAAUACGAAGGGUGCAAGCGUUAAUCGGAAUUACUGGGCGUAAAGCGUGCGUAGGCGGUGAGUUAAGUCUGCUGUGAAAUCCCCGGGCUCAACCUGGGAAUGGCAGUGGAUACUGGCUCGCUAGAGUGUGUCAGAGGAUAGUGGAAUUUCCGGUGUAGCAGUGAAAUGCGUAGAGAUCGGAAGGAACAUCUGUGGCGAAGGCGACUGACUGGACAAGUAUUGACGCUGAGGUGCGAAAGCGUGGGGAGCAAACAGGAUUAGAUACCCCAGUAGUCCCUGUCUCUUAUAA